AGAGUAGGCGCAGGUGGUUGCAGAUUAGGCAAGGCAGCUAAUUUGAGGAAAGUCCGGGCUUCCGAAAGACCAAACUUGCUGGGUAACGCCCAGUGCGAGCGAUCGUGAGGAUAGUGCCACAGAAAGAUACCGCCUUUACAGCGAUCGGUGAAACAGUAACCAGUUACCAGUUUUUGGUCACUGGUCACUGGUUACUGGUCACUGUAUAAAGGUAAGGGUGCAAAGGUGCGGUAAGAGCGCACCAGCAGCGCCGAGAGACGCUGGCUCGGUAAACCCCGGUUGGAAGCAAGGUCAAAGGAACUAUGGUUGGUCUUUUACCCGUUCCACUGCCCUUAAACCGCUUGAGGUGUUUGGUAACAAACAUCCCAGAUAGAUAACCGCCCUGAUGAAAAAAGACGUAGCAGUGCUACGUCUCUACGUUAGAACAGAACCCGGCUUAUGUCCGACUCUUUUC
rnacentral:RNase_P_RNA from 2 species